GUUAGGAAUAUUGGACAAUGGACGCAAGUCUGAUCCAGCCAUGCCGCGUGAGCGAUGAAGGCCUUCGGGUUGUAAAGCUCUUUAGUCCACGAUUAUAAUGACUGUAGUGGAAGAAUAAGCCCCGGCUAACUUCGUGCCAGCAGCCGCGGUAAUACGAAGGGGGCGAGCGUUAUUCGGAAUCACUGGGCGUAAAGCGUGCGUAGGCUGUUUUGCAAGUUGGAAGUGAAAUCCCAGGGCUCAACCCUGGAAUUGCUUUCAAAACUGCAAGACUCGAAUUCGGGAGAGGAUAGCGGAAUUUCCAGUGUAGUAGUGAAAUACGUAGAUAUUGGAAGGAACACCAGUGGCGUAAGCGGCUAUCUGGACCGACAUUGACGCUGAGGCACGAAAGCGUGGGGAUCAAACAGGAUUAGAUACCCUAGUAGUCC
rnacentral:rRNA from 1 species